rfam:Streptococcus thermophilus LMG 18311, complete genome.
CAUUCACUAUUUUAAAUCUAACCUGUCAUGAUUUAAGCUAAUGAAUGUCCAUAACCAUGUCGUCUGCUGAGCUUGACUCCGGGCGAUAUGGCAUUUUU